AAUAAGAUGCACAUAGUCUGAAAGAUCUGGCUGGUGUUCUGAAUAAGAUGACAUGAUAUCUCAACUGCAGAAGUACAGCUGGCAUGGAGGGGUUUCACCAGCUCAUCUUGAUGUAUUGUACCAAAAGAUUUGCUAACACACCACCUGUUUAUAGGAUGCACAAUCUUCUUGCAGCCAUAGAUUAUAAUAUACAUGCAAAUAGACCAUACAUCACCAACAAGGGGGGUCUGUUAGACUUCAGCGAGUCUGGAUGAAUUAAAGAAGAAGAAAAAGUAUCAUUAUACCAUUUUCUCAUGAUGCUAUAACUCUGAGAAUUAGUGACAUGGAGGGGAUAUAUAAAGUAGAAAGUUAGAGGAAGAUGACCCCACAGACUUUCAAAAUAUUUGGCCCAAGUUAGCCCGAAGCCUACCCGAGCCAUUCAUGAGGAACAUAAAUCAAGAUAUGAUUGACUUUUUAUGGAAAAGAAUGAUAAAAUAGUGUGUUACACUGAUUGCCCAACUAUUCAAACAUAUUUAAGCUGACAUUGAACACCUGGUAUUCAUGAUAGUUUUAUGAAAUAUCUUUUAAGAUAUGGCACUGUAUCUACCUUGUUUCGAAAAAAUUCUCUUGAUUCAUUUGUCAUGACUCAAGGUCUGUUUUUAAUAUUUUGUCAGAAAAAUGACUACUUUUUAUACAAGUGCAAAAUAUUAUCCAAUCUAUUAAACUAUAAGUGCUGCUAUGAGCUUUAAUGUAGUAACAAAGUUAAAAGUAUUUUUCAAUUUUAUCUUUUG